rnacentral:lncRNA from 1 species
AACUAAAUACUUUUUUUUUUUUGAGAGAUAGGUAGCACGCUACCCGCUUCAUUUAUUUCAUUUAGAAAUAAACUUAGCUGAAAAUGUGAAUUAACUAGGAUUCGAACUUGGGUCUCGGGUACCAACCACCAAACCCUUUGCCACUUGCUGACGAUCGGUAUGCCUCUAACUAAAUACUGAAAGGAUAUAUGCGUCAUAUAGGAUACGCUCAACUAAUU